rnacentral:rRNA from 1 species
CCCUUUGCUUCGGAAUAACAGUUAGAAAUGACUGCUAAUACCGGAUGAUGUCUUCGGACCAAAGAUUUAUCGGCAAAGGAUGAGCCCGCGUAGGAUUAGGUAGUUGGUGGGGUAAAGGCCUACCAAGCCGACGAUCCUUAGCUGGUCUGAGAGGAUGAUCAGCCACACUGGGACUGAGACACGGCCCAGACUCCUACGGGAGGCAGCAGUGGGGAAUAUUGGACAAUGGGCGCAAGCCUGAUCCAGCAAUGCCGCGUGAGUGAUGAAGGCCUUCGGGUCGUAAAGCUCUUUUACCAGGGAUGAUAAUGACAGUACCUGGAGAAUAAGCUCCGGCUAACUCCGUGCCAGCAGCCGCGGUAAUACGGAGGGAGCUAGCGUUGUUCGGAAUUACUGGGCGUAAAGAGUACGUAGGCGGCUAUUCAAGUCAGAGGUGAAAGCCCGGGGCUCAACCCCGGAACUGCCUUUGAAACUAGGUAGCUAGAAUCUUGGAGAGGUCAGUGGAAUUCCGAGUGUAGAGGUGAAAUUCGUAGAUAUUC